CAAAUCCAUAGGACUAGCCCAAGGUCAGGACCUGAGAUAAGGUCCCCCGUGGCUGGGCCCUGACAGCCUUUUCCAGUUAGCUUCGGGUGCCUGGCCUUGACUGACCUGUGAGUUGCCGCAGCUUGGAACGUGAGGGGCUGACUUUGGGGCUUCCUAGGGUCAGGACUCCAGCUUUGGUCUAGAACCUUCCAUCAGAACCCCAGCCUUACUCUCUCGCAGCAUUCUAGAUCCCCAUGCAUUCAGCCAGUCGUUCAACAAACAUUUGUGGCCAUGGAGGCUGGGGACACAGCUCUAGACAAGAUACACUCAAUCCCGGCCCUGGGCUCUUACCUUCUAGGGAGAGACAGGCAAUAAGGAGAAAGGGUGAGGAAGGAAGGGACAUGUCUGGGAGAGAAGGAAGAGCUCUGAGGCCUGGGGGCUGGAGAAGUGGCCCCGUAGCUGACAGACCAGGAUCUCCUGACUCCCAGGAGCUAGGCAGGAAGGUGGGUAGUACAGAGAUGGAACGGUGGAGGAAUGUCAGAUGUACCUUACCUGCCCGCCUCCUGAGAGCCUCAGAGAUCUUGGGAUUUCAGUGCAAGAAGGGACUUAAGGAUCAUAGGUGCCCAUUCUUUUGUUUUUCAGUAUCCACUGUCUGGAUGUUCCGGAGCUUGUCCAUCCAUUCACCUAUCGAGGGACAUUUUAGUUGUUUCCAGUUUGGACAAUUAUGAGAAGAGCUUCCAUAAGCAUUUGCA